AACGAUCAGUAGCCGGCCUGAGAGGGUGAACGGCCACAUUGGGACUGAGACACGGCCCAAACUCCUACGGAAGGCAGCAG
rnacentral:rRNA from 1 species